CGGCACUGUAACCACUGAGCUAUGGGCACCAAGCCACCAUUUAUGUUUUUAAAAAGGACUGUGAAGAAUACUAAUGCUUGUGAUAGCUGGGUUUAAGAAGUGCAAUAUUAAAACAAAAGCCAUGAGUCUUUUAAGCCCAGUGUGUAAAGAUACACUCUGAGUUAUAACUCAGAGGCACAAUA